rnacentral:misc_RNA from 2 species
AACGCACAUUGCGCCCUUUGGUAUUCCUUAGGGCAUGCCUGUUCGAGCGUCAUUUAAACCUUCAAGCUCAGCUUGGUGAUGGGUGACUGUCCUCCCCUCGCGGGGGGACUCGCCUCAAAAACAUUGGCGGCCGGUACAUUGGCUUCGAGCGCAGCAGAAACGCGGUCUCGAGCCCGGUGGAUCGGCUCCCAUAAGCCUAUUCUUUUAUUUUGACCUCGGAUCAGGUAGGGAUACCCGCUGAACUUAA